UCGUGUCGUGAGUGUGGGUUAAGUCCCGCAACGAGCGCAACCCUUAUCAUUAGCUGCUACGCAAGGGCACUCUAAUGAGACUGCCGGUGACAAACCGGAGGAAGUGGGGAUGACGUCAAGUCCUCAUGGCCCUUAUGGGUAGGGCUUCACACGUCAUACAAUGGUCGGUACAGAGGGUUGCCAAGCCGCGAGGCGGAGCCAAUCCCACAAAGCCGAUCGUAGUCCGGAUUGUUCUCUGCAACUCGAGAGCAUGAAGUCGGAAUCGCUAGUAAUCGCAGGUCAGCAUACUGCGGUGAAUACGUUCCCGGGUCUU
rnacentral:rRNA from 1 species